rnacentral:tRNA from 1 species
GAAGGUAUAGCUCAAGUGGUAGAGCACAUACUUAGCAUACAUGAGGUCCUGGGCUCAAUCCCUAGGACCUUCU